AGAACGAACGCUGGCGGCAUGCCUAACACAUGCAAGUCGAACGAGACCGCUGACUUCGGUUGGCGCGUCUAGUGGCGCACGGGUGCGUAACGCGUGGGAAUCUGCCCUUGGGUUCGGGAUAACAGUUGGAAACGACUGCUAAUACCGGAUGAUGUCUUCGGACCAAAGAUUUAUCGCCCAGGGAUGAGCCCGCGUCGGAUUAGCUAGUUGGUGGGUAAAAGCCUACCAAGGCGACGAUCCGUAGCUGGUCUGAGAGGAUGAUCAGCCACACUGGGACUGAGACACGGCCCAGACUCCUACGGGAGGCAGCAGUGGGGAAUAUUGGACAAUGGGCGAAAGCCUGAUCCAGCAAUGCCGCGUGAGUGAUGAAGGCCUUAGGGUUGUAAAGCUUCGUUUACCCGGAUGAUAAGUGACGAGGUACCGGAAGAAGUAACCGCCCGACUAACCGUCCGUACGGCCGCGACGGCCGAC
rnacentral:rRNA from 1 species